UACGAAGGGGGCUAGCGUUGCUCGGAAUUACUGGGCGUAAAGGGCGCGUAGGCGGCACUGUUAGUCAGGCGUGAAAUUCCUGGGCUCAACCUGGGGACUGCGCUUGAUACGGCAGAGCUUGAGGAUGGAAGAGGGUCGCGGAAUUCCCAGUGUAGAGGUGAAAUUCGUAGAUAUCGGAAGGAACAUCAGUGGCGAAAGCGGCUUCCUGGACCAGCACCGACGUUCAGGCACGAAAGCGUGGGGAGCAAACAGG
rnacentral:rRNA from 1 species